CCUACGGGAGGCAGCAGUAAGGAAUCUUCCACAAUGGGCGAAAGCCUGAUGGAGCAACGCCGCGUGGGUGAAGAAGUUCUUCGGAUCGUAAAACCCUGUUGUUAGAGAAGAAAGUGCGUGAGAGUAACUGUUCACGUUUCGACGGUAUCUAACCAGAAAGCCACGGCGAACUACGUGCCAGCAGCCGCGGUAAUACGUAGGUGGCAAGCGUUAUCCGGCUUUAUUGGGCGUAAAGGGAACGCAGGCGGUCUUUUAAGUCUGAUGUGAAAGCCUUCGGCUUAACCGGAGUAGUGCAUUGGAAACUGGGAGACGUGAGUGCAGAAGAGGAGAGUGGAACGCCAUGUGUAGCGGUGAAAUGCGUAGAUAUAUGGAAGAACACCAGUGGCGAAAGCGGCUCUCUGGUCUGUAACGGACGCUGAGGUUCGAAAGCGUGGGUAGCAAACAGGAUUAGAUACCCCUGUAGUC
rnacentral:rRNA from 1 species